rnacentral:tRNA from 1 species
AAAGGGAGACCUAAUUCAGGUAGGAGACGAAAAAAAAGUAGUCGCUACCAAGAAUCAAUCACAAAAGGUCGGAACGAGGUAUGUGGCUUUCAAACUAGGUUCUGGGUUCAUAAAAGACCUGAAUCAGGAACAAGGGCUAUUAGCUCAGGUGGUUAGAGCGCACCCCUGAUAAGGGUGAGGUCCCUGGUUCGAGUCCAGGAUGGCCCACCUGCACAGGUGGCAAAAAGAAAGAAAAGAAGCGAGGAAUCAGCACCUGAUCUUACUUAUAUAGUAAGAGAGAAUGCUGGCUCUGAGUUCAGAGUCCAGAGGAACCUUGAAAACUGCAUAGAGCUAGGUGAAAAAGCCAAAAAAGAAGACCGCAAG